rnacentral:lncRNA from 1 species
CUCUUUCAUCUCUCCAGUCUUUUUACCUGGCUCUGAUUAGUGCAUCUGGAAUUUGAAGACCAAAUGCAACAGAGACACACAGAGAGUCACAGAGCUGGCAUAGACCACCAGAGGUGGGCUGAUAUUUUCUCUUGGAAGAUAAACUCAAAGAAAGAAAAAAAAUGGAUUUUAUCAUCUACCAUGGUCCAUAGUAAACACAGAAAACCGCCCUCUGCUCAGUGGGCAGCUCAUUCACAUUCAUUCACUUUUCCAACAAAUACAAAGUCCCUAAUCAGCGUCAGCGCUGCCCAGGUGCUACUCACCUGUGUGGCCCAGCAUGCAGAGUUGAAUAGCUAUUCUUUUCUAUAUGCUUAUUUCAUGCUUUUAGAAAUAAAAUCAUCAUCUUGAGUGUAGCAGAAGUGGUCAGAAUCAAAAUGUAAUCGGUUAUGUCAACUUUAACAACAAUAACCAAAAACAACUAAGUCGGAGAGAUUACAAAGGAAGGAUUUUUACUCAUGGCUACCUUUUAGCUACUACCACAAAGGACUGUGAGAGCACCACCUUGCACAGAGCCCACUGCGACCUUAUACAAAGAGCACUUGUAUGAAGACAGCUGCCAGGCAAUAUCUGCUCAACCCUGGACGGAGGCUACUCUUGCUAUUGGUCAUCAUGGCCCAACCUUAUUAUUGCAAAAUAUCUGAUGCAAUCAUCCUAUUUCUAUAUUUUUUAUUUGGCUAGGGUCUCCUUAUGUUGCCCAAUCUAGCUUUGAACUCAAGAUACUUCUGCCUCAGCAAUCCAAGCAUCAUCCUUUUCUUUAAAAAAUCUUCCCCUUGUCACCGGGUAUCAAGGUGCACACCUGUAAUCCCUCCCAGCUACUCAGGAGGCUGAAGCAGGAGGAUCAUAAAUUAGAGGCCAGCCUGGGCAACUUAGCAAGAUCAUGUCUGAAAGUAAAAAUAAACUGAGCUGGGGAUUUAGCUCAGGGAUAAAGUGUAGCUGGGUUAGAUCCCUGAUACCAUGAAAAACAAAGCAAAGUAAAACAGAACCAAACGAAAACAAAACUUCCCCUUGCCUCAGCCUCUUGAAUACACUCAUGGUUUCCUAGGGUGUGUGUGAAUCUCUGCUUCAUUCAC